rnacentral:rRNA from 2 species
AAAUUGAAGAGUUUGAUCAUGGCUCAGAUUGAACGCUGGCGGCAGGCCUAACACAUGCAAGUCGAACGGUAACAGGAAGCAGCUUGCUGCUUCGCUGACGAGUGGCGGACGGGUGAGUAAUGUCUGGGAAACUGCCUGAUGGAGGGGGAUAACUACUGGAAACGGUGGCUAAUACCGCAUAACGUCGCAAGACCAAAGAGGGGGACCUUCGGGCCUCUUGCCAUCAGAUGUGCCCAGAUGGGAUUAGCUGGUUGGUGAGGUAACGGCUCACCAAGGCGACGAUCCCUAGCUGGUCUGAGAGGAUGACCAGCCACACUGGAACUGAGACACGGUCCAGACUCCUACGGGAGGCAGCAGUGGGGAAUAUUGCACAAUGGGCGCAAGCCUGAUGCAGCCAUGCCGCGUGUAUGAAGAAGGCCUUCGGGUUGUAAAGUACUUUCAGCGGGGAGGAAGGUGUUGUGGUUAAUAACCGCAGCAAUUGACGUUACCCGCAGAAGAAGCACCGGCUAACUCCGUGCCAGCAGCCGCGGUAAUACGGAGGGUGCAAGCGUUAAUCGGAAUUACUGGGCGUAAAGCGCACGCAGGCGGUCUGUCAAGUCGGAUGUGAAAUCCCCGGGCUCAACCUGGGAACUGCAUUCGAAACUGGCAGGCUUGAGUCUUGUAGAGGGGGGUAGAAUUCCAGGUGUAGCGGUGAAAUGCGUAGAGAUCUGGAGGAAUACCGGUGGCGAAGGCGGCCCCCUGGACAAAGACUGACGCUCAGGUGCGAAAGCGUGGGGAGCAAACAGGAUUAGAUACCCUGGUAGUCCACGCCGUAAACGAUGUCUACUUGGAGGUUGUGCCCUUGAGGCGUGGCUUCCGGAGCUAACGCGUUAAGUAGACCGCCUGGGGAGUACGGCCGCAAGGUUAAAACUCAAAUGAAUUGACGGGGGCCCGCACAAGCGGUGGAGCAUGUGGUUUAAUUCGAUGCAACGCGAAGAACCUUACCUGGUCUUGACAUCCACAGAACUUUCCAGAGAUGGACUGGUGCCUUCGGGAACUGUGAGACAGGUGCUGCAUGGCUGUCGUCAGCUCGUGUUGUGAAAUGUUGGGUUAAGUCCCGCAACGAGCGCAACCCUUAUCCUUUGUUGCCAGCGGUUAGGCCGGGAACUCAAAGGAGACUGCCAGUGAUAAACUGGAGGAAGGUGGGGAUGACGUCAAGUCAUCAUGGCCCUUACGACCAGGGCUACACACGUGCUACAAUGGCGCAUACAAAGAGAAGCGACCUCGCGAGAGCAAGCGGACCUCAUAAAGUGCGUCGUAGUCCGGAUUGGAGUCUGCAACUCGACUCCAUGAAGUCGGAAUCGCUAGUAAUCGUGGAUCAGAAUGCCACGGUGAAUACGUUCCCGGGCCUUGUACACACCGCCCGUCACACCAUGGGAGUGGGUUGCAAAAGAAGUAGGUAGCUUAACCUUCGGGAGGGCGCUUACCACUUUGUGAUUCAUGACUGGGGUGAAGUCGUAACAAGGUAACCGUAGGGGAACCUGCGGUUGGAUCACCUCCUUACCUUAAAGAAGC